rnacentral:rRNA from 1 species
CACCCGAGCGACUCUUGGGUGAGGUGCCGUCUUUGAUGGCGGUAUCGAAUCUGAGUUUCGUGAGGGGGGAAAAGUCGUAACAAGGUGGCCGUAGGGGAACCUGCGGCCGGAUCACCUCCU